rnacentral:rRNA from 1 species
UACGUAGGGUGCGAGCGUUAAUCGGAAUUACUGGGCGUAAAGGGUGCGCAGGCGGCUUGCUAAGACAGGUGUGAAAGCCCCGAGCUUAACUUGGGAAUGGCGCUUGUGACUGGCAGGCUGGAGUGUGGCAGAGGGAGGUGGAAUUCCACGUGUAGCGGUGAAAUGCGCAGAUAUCAGGAGGAACACCGGUGGCGAAGGCGGGUCUCUGGGCCGUAACUGACGCUGAGGAGCGAAAGCGUGGGGAGCGAACAGG